GUGGGGAAUAUUGGACAAUGGGCGAAAGCCUGAUCCAGCCAUGCCGCGUGUGUGAAGAAGGUCUUCGGAUUGUAAAGCACUUUAAGUUGGGAGGAAGGGCAGUAAGUUAAUACCUUGCUGUUUUGACGUUACCGACAGAAUAAGCACCGGCUAACUGCGUGCCAGCAGCCGCGGUAAUACGACGGGUGCAAUCGUUAAUCGGAAUUACUGGGCGUAAAGCGCUCGUAGGAGGUGUUGUAAGUUGGCGGUGAGAUCCCCGGGCUCAACCUGGGAACUGCCUCCAAAACUGCAUGACUAGAGUACGGUAGAGGGUAGUGGAAUUUCCUGUGUAGCGGUGAAAUGCGUAGAUAUAGGAAGGAACACCAGUGGCGAAGGCGACUACCUGGACUGAUACUGACACUGAGGUGCGAAAGCGUGGGGAGCAAACAGGAUUAGAAACCCCUGUAGUCC
rnacentral:rRNA from 1 species